rnacentral:rRNA from 1 species
GACGAACGCGGGCGGCGUGCUUAAUACAUGCAAGUAGAACGCUGAAGGAGGAGCUUGCUCUUCUGGAUGAGUUGCGAACGGGUGAGUAACGCGUAGGUAACCUGCCUGGUAGCGGGGGAUAACUAUUGGAAACGAUAGCUAAUACCGCAUAAGAGUAGAUGUUGCAUGACAUUUGCUUAAAAGGUGCAAUUGCAUCACUACCAGAUGGACCUGCGUUGUAUUAGCUAGUUGGUGAGGUAACGGCUCACCAAGGCAACGAUACAUAGCCGACCUGAGAGGGUGAUCGGCCACACUGGGACUGAGACACGGCCCAGACUCCUACGGGAGGCAGCAGUAGGGAAUCUUCGGCAAUGGACGGAAGUCUGACCGAGCAACGCCGCGUGAGUGAAGAAGGUUUUCGGAUCGUAAAGCUCUGUUGUAAGAGAAGAACGAGUGUGAGAGUGGAAAGUUCACA